UACGUAGGGACCAAGCGUUGUUCGGAUUUACUGGGCGUAAAGGGCGCGUAGGCGGCUCGUUUAGUCGGGUGUGAAAUCCCGGGGCUCAACCCCGGAACUGCAUUCGAUACUGGCGGGCUAGAGACCGGAAGAGGUGGGUGGAAUACCCAGUGUAGAGGUGAAAUUCGUAGAUAUUGGGUGGAACACCGGUGGCGAAGGCGGCUCACUGGUCCGGUUCUGACGCUGAGGCGCGAAAGCGUGGGGAGCAAACAGG
rnacentral:rRNA from 1 species